rnacentral:rRNA from 1 species
GAUGAACGCUGGCGGCGUGCCUAAUACAUGCAAGUCGAACGGUAACGCGGGGCAACCUGGCGACGAGUGGCGAACGGGUGAGUAAUGCAUCGGAACGUGCCCAGCCGUGGGGGAUAACGCAGCGAAAGCUGUGCUAAUACCGCAUACGAUCUCUGGAUGAAAGCGGGGGCCGGAAAGGCAUCUCGCAAUUUGAGCGGACACUGUCAGAUUAGGUAGUUGGUGGGGUACAGGCGCAACAAGCCAAAGAUCUGUAGCGGGUCUGAGAGGACGUACAGCAAAACUGGGGCAGAGACACGGCCCAGACUCCUACGGGAGGCAGCAGUGGGGAAUUUUGGAUAAAGGGCGCAAGCCUGAUCCAGCAAGGCCGCGUGCAGGAUGAAGGCCUUCGGGUUGUAAACUGCUUUUGUACGGAGCGAAACGGCUUCCACUAAUACUGGGGGCUAAUGACGGUACCGUAAGAAUAAGCACCGGCUAACUACGUGCCAGCCGCCGCAGUAA